rnacentral:rRNA from 1 species
AUUGAACGCUGGCGGCAUGCCUUACACAUGCAAGUCGAACGGUAACAGGUCUUCGGAUGCUGACGAGUGGCGAACGGGUGAGUAAUACAUCGGAACGUGCCCGAUCGUGGGGGAUAACGGAGCGAAAGCUUUGCUAAUACCGCAUACGAUCUACGGAUGAAAGCAGGGGACCGCAAGGCCUUGCGCGGACGGAGCGGCCGAUGGCAGAUUAGGUAGUUGGUGGGAUAAAAGCUUACCAAGCCGACGAUCUGUAGCUGGUCUGAGAGGACGACCAGCCACACUGGGACUGAGACACGGCCCAGACUCCUACGGGAGGCAGCAGUGGGGAAUUUUGGACAAUGGGCGCAUGCCUGAUCCAGCCAUGCCGCGUGCAGGAUGAAGGCCUUCGGGUUGUAAACUGCUCUUGUACGGAACGAAAAGACUCUGGUUAAUACCUGGGGUCCAUGACGGUACCGUAAGAAUAAGCACCGGCUAACUACGUGCCAGCCGCCGCGGUAAUAC